rnacentral:lncRNA from 1 species
GUCCGCAGCUCCCGUUUGACAAAAAUGAUGUUCGUCCAGAUGGCAUAAAGCUUAGCUCUCAGAACUGAAGGCUCGAAGAGAUGGAAACCUCCAGCUGCCAAUAGCUUGGCAUUCGAGCUCCGGAUGAUAAAUCCCACACCACCUCUUCCAUCUCUGAUAUUGCCAUCAAAAUUUACCUUGACAAAUUCUGAAGAAGGAGGCUCUCAGGAGAUGAAAAUGAUCAUCCGGAUCGC